GGGAUGGAGAGGUAGAGACAGAGGAAUGGAGAGGUAGAGACAGGGGAAUGGAGAGGUAGAGACAGAGGAAUGGAGAGGUAGAGACAGAGGAAUGGAGAGGUAGAGACAGGGGAAUGGAGAGGAAGAGACAGGGGAAUGGAGAGGUAGAGACAGGGGAAUGGAGAGGUAGAGACAGGGGGAUGGAGAGGAAGAGACAGGGGAAUGGAGAGGUAGAGACAGGGGAUUGGAGAGGUAGAGACAGAGGAAUGGAGAUGUAGAGACAGGGGAUUGGAGAGGUAGAGACAGGGGGAUGGAGAGGUAGAGACAGGGGAAUGGAGAGGUAGAGACAGGGGAAUGGAGAGGAAGAGAGAGAGGAAUGGAGAGGUAGAAAGAGAGGUUGUAGUUUUGGAAAUAUGCUUCUUCUUUCAGUCAUUGAUCAAAAACUACAUUACCCAGAGGUUCUUGAGGCAAGUUAAUACGUACAUUAGGUGUGGCCAGGUAGUCAGAGACAGAUAGAGAGAGC
ensembl:lncRNA